rnacentral:rRNA from 1 species
CGAAGGGGGCUAGCGUUGUUCGGAAUUACUGGGCGUAAAGCGUAUGUAGGCGGGUCGUUAAGUCGGGGUGAAAUCCCGAGGCUCAACCUCGGAACUGCCUUCGAUACUGGCGACCUUCGAGUCCGGGAGAGGUGAGUGGAACUCCGAGUGUAGAGGUGAAAUUCGUAGAUAUUCGGAAGAACACCAGUGGCGAAGGCGGCUCACUGGCCCGGUACUGACGCUGAAAUACGAAAGCGUGGGGAGCAAACAGGAUUAGAUACCCCUGGUAGUCCACGCCGUAAACGAUGAAUGCUAGCCGUCGGUCAGCAUGCUGUUCGGUGGCGCAGCUAACGCAUUAAGCAUUCCGCCUGGGGAGUACGAUCGCAAGAUUA